rnacentral:lncRNA from 1 species
AUGAGAAUAAUUGGUCUCCGUCCUUUUUAUAGACUCACUCUUCUGUAUUUGUGCAUAUCUGCUGUGCUUCCUCCAAGCCAUUGGUCAAGGAAGUGUGUCAGGAGAUGGCCACGUGGGGACCAGCCAGUCCCAGAACGGGCAUCAGCAGUUCAUCUCUCCACAACAGAAAUGAAUGAAAGAGAUUUUAAACAGACAGUCAAAAUUUCAAGCCCUGUCAAAUGUGUGAUAGGGGAAACUUCAGAGUUACAGCUGCUUAUCAUUCAUGACUUGUCACCCAAGAUUAACACCAUGGACUAGAACGAAGCUGGUGACAUGAUAUAAAAACUUAUGAUGGUACUCACUAUAAAUCAAAAGUCACAGCUGGUCCACCUGUCUGAGUCCUGUUUCCUGUUGCUUCAACACUUGUCUACAUCAUUUUCGAGAAGGUCAAGCUGCCAGCCAUGUCAUCUCACUGUACAGCAAGCCACCACCUCACCUGUCAACUCCCUGCAUGAUACAGGUGAGAAAAUUUGGAAACAGACAUGGAAAUGGGUGAAAGUCUUGAUAU